rnacentral:rRNA from 1 species
CAGUAGCCGCGGGAAUACGAACCGUGCGAACGUUAUUCGGAAUCACUGGGCUUAAAGCGCGUGUAGGCGGGCCGCCGCGUCGGUCGCUGAAAUCCCCCGGCUCAACCGGGGAACUGGCGCCGAAACGGGCGGCCUGGAGGGGGGUAGGGGGGCCUGGAACUUCCGGUGGAGCGGUGAAAUGCGUUGAGAUCGGAAGGAACGCCCGUGGCGAAAGCGAGGCCCUGGACCCUUACUGACGCUGAGACGCGAAAGCCAGGGGAGCGAACGGGAUUAGAGACCCGAGUAGUCCCUGUCUCUUAUA